rnacentral:rRNA from 1 species
CAGUAGCCGCGGUAAUACGAAGGGUGCAAGCGUUACUCGGAAUUACUGGGCGUAAAGCGUGUGUAGGUGGUUGUUUAGGUCUGUCGUGAAAGCCCUGGGCUCAACCUGGGAAUUGCGAUGGAUACUGGGCGACUAGAGUGCGGUAGAGGAUAGUGGAAUUUCCGGUGUAGCAGUGAAAUGCGUAGAGAUCGGAAGGAACAUCUGUGGCGAAGGCGACUAUCUGGGCCAACACUGACACUGAGACACGAAAGCGUGGGGAGCAAACAGGAUUAGAUACCCCAGUAGUCCCUGUCUCUUAUAC